GACAAAGCCCGGGGCAUAAAACCCAGGAGGAGCCUUCAGGAUACUGCUGCUGCCUUUAUGUCAGUAAACGGUUCUGAUCCGGUUAGAAAUCAGUUAGAGGUUCUGAUCCAGACCCGGCUAUAUGUCAGGUAACGGUUCUGAUCCGGUUAGAAAUCAGUUAGAGGUUCUGAUCCAAAAGGUUCUGAUCACCAUAUCAACUUCCAUAUCACAUAAGCAUUUUAAUUCUUCCGAUGAGAAGUCUGUCUAACUUAUAAACCAUGGAAUCAUUAAAGUUUAGAUGUUUUAAAUCAGUUUUAAAUCAGCCGUAUUGUUCAGUAAAUAAUUAUGGUUCCAGCAGCAAAAAACAGACCAAUAAAUGGGAUAAUAAUCACUAUUUUAGGUUGAAGAGUUGUUUUGAAGGCUAACACAGUUAAGUCAUUUUUUAUUGUGCAUGAAGAGCUAUGCAGGAUAAAAUGUGAAUGCAGCUCUUUAUAAAUUAGUUUCCUGAAGAAUAUCUUAACAAACAUCUAUCUGUGAUUCCAACCUCUGCUUUAAAUAAGGCGGCUGUGAUUUAUGAGACUGUCUGAAUGUACUUAUGACAAUUUACUCUGUUUACCUUGUUUUUCUGCUUAUUUAUAGUGUUCCAUAUUUUAGUAGCCCUCUUGAUAAAGAGUCUUAACUUUUAAAAGUUUAGUACACUUAAAUAUAUAUUCUGUUUUUCUAGGAGCUAUAAGGAAUAAUCCCUGGUCAGCAGGUGCAGCAGAUCCUAAAAUAAUUUAGUUAUCGCUGGUUAAACCUCGCUGGUGACAAAGAACACCAAAAACCCAAAGCUUCAACUUAAAGGUGUUGAUUGGAAAUGAAGUUUCCAUUAAAUUUGAUGUUUGUUAUUCUGCGUCUGUUUGUUUGGACUGUUUGGUUAAAUUUCAGGACUAUUGAGAAAUGGUUGAUAUUUACACUAAAACUAUUUUUUUUUUAAUAUUCAUAGAUCUGGUGUUCAGACUAUUAAGAUUUGUUUGUGUGGAAAAAAAAAACAAUCACUUUAAUGUUAUUUUUACAUUUAUACAUUUCAUAUUGUGUCAGCUAUUUAAAUAACCAUGGUCUAAUGAUAUAUUCUCGUGAUAAAUCAUUUAUUUUU